AGUGAACGCUGGCGGUAGGCCUAACACAUGCAAGUCGAACGGCAGCACAGUAAGAGCUUGCUCUUACGGGUGGCGAGUGGCGGACGGGUGAGGAAUACAUCGGAAUCUACUUUUUCGUGGGGGAUAACGUAGGGAAACUUACGCUAAUACCGCAUACGACCUACGGGUGAAGGCAGGGGAUCUUCGGACCUUGCGCGAUUGAAUGAGCCGAUGUCGGAUUAGCUAGUUGGCGGGGUAAAGGCCCACCAAGGCGACGAUCCGUAGCUGGUCUGAGAGGAUGAUCAGCCACACUGGAACUGAGACACGGUCCAGACUCCUACGGGAGGCAGCAGUGGGGAAUAUUGGACAAUGGGCGCAAGCCUGAUCCAGCCACACCGCGUGGGUGAAGAAGGCCUUCGGGUUGUAAAGCCCUUUUGUUGGGAAAGAAAAGCAGCAGGUUAAUACCCCGCUGUUCUGACGGUACCCAAAGAAUAAGCACCGGCUAACUUCGUG
rnacentral:rRNA from 1 species